UACAGAGGGUGCGAGCGUUAAUCGGAAUUACUGGGCGUAAAGCGUGCGUAGACGGUUGUUAAGUCUGUUGUGAAAUCCCCGGGCUUAACCUGGGAACUGCAUUGGUGACUGCAAGGCUUGAGUGUGUCAGAGGGAGGUGGAAUUCCGCGUGUAGCAGUGAAAUGCGCAGAUAUCAGGAGGAACACCGAUGGCGAAGGCAGGUCUCUGGGCCACUACUGACGCUGAGAAGCGAAAGCAUGGGGAGCGAACAGG
rnacentral:rRNA from 1 species